CAGUCGCCGCGGGAAUACGGAGGGUGCAAGCGUUAAUCGGAAUUACUGGGCGUAAAGCGCACGCAGGCGGCUUCUUAAGUCGGAUGUGAAAUCCCUGAGCUUAACUUAGGAAUUGCAUUCGAUACUGGGAAGCUAGAGUAUGGGAGAGGAUGGUAGAAUUCCAGGUGUAGCGGUGAAAUGCGUAGAGAUCUGGAGGAAUACCGAUGGCGAAGGCAGCCAUCUGGCCUAAUACUGACGCUGAGGUACGAAAGCAUGGGGAGCAAACAGGAUUAGAUACCCCUGUAGUCCCUGUCUCUUAUAC
rnacentral:rRNA from 1 species